UCCCCGAGCCGUGUUUUGUUUAGGCCCCUCAGGCCAACGGCGGGAAGCGCGCUUGGUGUUUUCGAACAGCUCCACGAGCAGUUGUGCUUCUGCAAUCAAGGCAGCAGACAGAACGGAGACAGGAAAAGGUGAUGCCUCAGCUGAAGUGAACAACUCAGGAAUCUGCCAAGCCUGUGUUUUAAUGAUUUAACAGAUGGAGUUGGCACAUGUGAACCUGGAAGAUGCAUCUGUCUGAUUUUUCCAGUCUGAGGAUUUUUUAACUGCAUUAAUGGCACAGACAAUGGUAAAAUAUCACCUCCCCAGGCUGCUCUGCUCUCCUAACACAUAAUGUCUCUUAAGGAAAAAAAAAAGUGAUAGGAGACUGGGGUGAGCAAAAGGCCAGAGAAAUGAGGAUUUGAAAAGUUUAAUAUUUUCUGUCCUCACCGCAUUAAGCUUUUAAGCCUUUCACUGUGAAUUUCAUGUGUGUGGGGGGGGUGGAAACAGAAAUUCUACCCAGACAACGUUAUCUGUGAUCUCAGGGUUCUGUUAAUUAAUUAAUGGCUCCAAAUAAACACCCUUUAAA